GAGGGGAUAGCUCAGUGGGAGUGCUUGCCUAGCAUGCAGAAGGUCCUGGGUUCAAUCCCCAGUACCUCCA
rnacentral:tRNA from 1 species